CUGACACAGCCCAGCUGAUGGCUCGGUGGUGGCACAAAASCAGGGAGAGCACUCUGGUGUGCACCGGUGGCAGCCACUGCUCCAACAAACAGCAUUAGAAACUUAGCAGGUGAAUAUGCAGUGGUGUUGCAGAUAUAUUCUUUAUUUUUGGCAUAAAGAACAAGCUGAGGCCUGAGAAUUUACCAGGGCCAGCAUCUGACUCUUGAAUUGUCUGAUCUUCUUGUACUGUGUCUGAGGAUGGAAAGCUGAAAGAAGCUGUUUACCUUCAGGUUGCAAUAUAGACUCCUUUAAAGCGCCUUUUUUGAGAAGAGCAUGUGUUAAAUAUUUUUGGGGCCAGCACUGUGAGGUUGGCUCAGCCUCCAGAAGCACUUUCCAAAGCUUGUUGUCCAGAAUAGCGUGCUCUAAAAAUGCAUUGCAUCCCCCUGCACUAACUGGUCUGACCUACUCUAGCCAUACAAGAGGCUUUUUCUUUCAGCUCGGGUGAGAUCCAUAUUAAGAUCUGUAUUUCUUGCACACUGCAACAGCUUCUUUUUCUUCCUUGCUUCCUGGUAGGCACCUCYAGUGCCUGUCUCCGUGUUGGAUGAGAGCCUGUGGGGCGUUCAGGGAGUGCAGGUCUGGCCUGUGUAUCACCCUGUCACCAGGACUGAGCUGGGAGAAGUCAGUACAUACGCACAGCUUGGAGCAAUGCGUGCUGUGCUUGGGGGAUGGGAGGUUUGAAACCUUGACUGUUAUUUUAUCUGCAGUUUAGCAUGGCUCAGGUUUGUCAGCAAAACACCACAGUCCUGAAAUUUCAAGCCUGAGGCGGAGCUGGGAAGAACAUCCUAGAGCUCCUGAGUUUCUGUUUAGGGCUUUGGACACAGCUUCAGACAAAGAUUCUCUCUUCCUGAAAGGACAGAGAUAUCGAAGUGCAAUAUUUACAUCAGUUAUGUGAAGUCCACUCAGACCUAUUCAGCCCCCUGCUUCUGCAUAAUUUUUUUUUGGCAAGCAUUAACUAAAAAGGAAGGGAGUAACUCUUGCUUGAAAUUAUUUUUCUCCCUGCUCCUGUGUCCCGCCCCCAGGCGCCCCAUGGCAGGUGUUACAGAGGCGAAAACCAGCUCUCCUGCACAGAGAGAUUAGCAGCACACAAAAUCAUCUCUCUCCUCCUUGUGCACCYCAGAGCCCAGAAACUCCCCCAUCUCUCCAGCCUUGCAGCCCAGCUGUCCCAAACCCCAGACAGCAGGGAUGGAUAACUGUAGGCUGCUCCCUGCACUGCAGCCCAGUUGAUGGAGGAGAUAAUGGGAAUGAUUUCUUCUUGCAAGUACAAGCAUGAAUCCUCUGAAGAAAUAUUAAGUCUGGAUGUGGUGGAAAAAAAAAAAAAGAAAAAUAAAUGCACACACGUGCACACACACAACCUCGACCUCAUGUAAUGUUGGAGGGCUUGGUUGUGUCUGACUUUUUUUCUCAGCUGCUGGUCCUUGAACUCCUCCCAACGUGGCUCCACCACUGGAGCAACAGCUGGCGUGCUGAGGUGCACUUCAGGGCUGCCAGCUCGUCUCACUGCAGAUCGAGCCUUGCACUGUGUUACUGGGGGAUUUCCUUAAAGCCUUUGAGCCUCUCUGCCAGAGUGCUCGGAUUGUGUGAGAAUUGUGCCUUUUGAUGGAAGAAAAAGUGGGUGGGGGGAAGAUAAUUAAGAAAAAAUGUUUCUAGCACUCAGGAUUGUGGAGGAAAAUGAACAAAUAGGAAAUGAGUAUGACCUACAGUAAGUAAAAUAAUAAUCUUUUUGCCCUGAGCAGGGCUGUAUGAACUGUUUGGAUAACAUGCAGUGGAGAGGGGUGUGGAAGAAAGUGGAGCCCUGCUCAGUGCUGCAGGCCUUUUGCCACUGUAAGAGAAAGAGUAAAAACUUGCUUUGCCACUCUGGAUGCUAACUUAUGACAGGCAAUGGCUUUGGCUGUGGUGAAUAAGCCUGGUGAAGGGUCCAUCACAGAUUAACUCCUAAGCCUUAGGUGUUUUGCUAAGUGAGGUGCCAGACCAGUCUGUGGAAAUCUUGUUCUUGAAUUAUUAUUCCUUUUAAAUAUUAGACCCUGYCUGCAAAAAUGAAGUGUUUCCUGGCUUCACUUUUCAGCAUUGCUAUUCUUUCCAUCCUCUUUUGCUUCCACAGUGGGUACAGAGACAUGAGCUUUCAAUACCUGCAAGUUUCCGUCURGUUUGUUAGCAUCACUCCUCAAGAAGGGGAUUAUGAGAAGUUGGAGAUGUUGCAGUGUUUCAGGCUCAUUUGACUGUGGUGGCUGAGCUGAACCACUUCUGACUUGCCCUCCUGAGGGUGAACAGAGGACGAGGCUGUGCGCUGGGGCUGGUGACAACUCGGUUUCCACCUCUGCUGCAGCAGCCUGGCUGAGCUGGUCUUCCCAGGGGCCCAAACUAACAGAAGUCUGAGCCCUGACUGCCUAUGCCUUGGCCAGAGCAGAGCAACUCUUUGCUGAGAGAUAAUGUUGCCUUAAAGGAGAAGGCAGAUGACACCAGUGCCUGGGAUCUGGGUACUGUCGCUGAAGAAUCGAAGAGACGGGUAAGGCACGUCCACCAGUGCCUGCAGUGGAAAAUGUCAUCACCAUAAUGCUGUGCAGGGGAAGGACAGACACUGAUGGCCCAUCUCCCAUGAGUUGUGUGUUAUCAGCAGUUUCAUAACAGAGUGGUUUAGGCUUAACUCCACCUCUGCUUUUGUGUAGAUACCACUGACAGGUAAUGGUGUCRCCUGUUUAACAGUGUGACUAUACAAUCUGUGGUUAUUUCCAUUAAAAGACAACACACACUUUGUAGACACCAGGAGAUUUUUGAGGAAUUGCGUGUGUGAAAUAUAAAUUAAUGCAUUGAACUGCCUUUUGACACACAGAUGCAUGCACACGCACAAAAGCAUUGAYCAAGUUGCAAGGUCUGCUCUCUAAAAGUGGUAUUGAUUUUGAAGGUUCUGCUGCUGCUUUUUGCAGCCUUUGUCCUACCACAGAGGCAAGGAGCACCAGAGGGUUUGUCUCAUGGGGUCGAACAGCUUGGCACUUUGCACUGCAUGGCUGAAGUGUCACCAGGAGCAGAGUURUGGCAGUGUCCUGGCCCUUAGGAAGAGGUUUCUCUUUCUGUGCAGGUAGCCAAGAUUGCACUGCUGGGACAGUGGUUUGGCCAUGACAGCAGAGCGAUGAUGUAUGCUUGCUCAGCACUACCACAGCACAAGCAGUAGUUUUCUGACAUCAAAUGAAGCCCUGGCUCAGCUGGUUGGCACUGAGGCUGGGCCGGGUGCGGGGUCUUUCGGCAUUAGGAUGGAGCCUCUUUGAGACAUCAAMACAUGCAGAUCUUUCCUGCUGGCCUCCUCCCUGCCCCAUUUUCCUAUCUUUGGUGGUUGGCCCUGGCUGAAUGCUGGGUCCCCACCAAACCUGCUCUAUCACUUCCCUCCUCAGCUGGACAGGAGAGAGAAAAGGCGUCUUGAUUGAGAAGAUCAGGUAGAGAUCACUCACCAAUUACAGUCAUGGGCAAAAUAGACCUGCCUUGAGGAAUUAGUUUACUUUAUUAUCAAUCAAAUCAGAG